rnacentral:rRNA from 1 species
GACGAACGCUGGCGGCGUGCUUAACACAUGCAAGUCGAACGGAAAGGCCCUGCUUUUGUGGGGUGCUCGAGUGGCGAACGGGUGAGUAACACGUGAGUAACCUGCCCUUGACUUUGGGAUAACUUCAGGAAACUGGGGCUAAUACCGGAUAGGAGCUCCUGCUGCAUGGUGGGGGUUGGAAAGUUUCGGCGGUUGGGGAUGGACUCGCGGCUUAUCAGCUUGUUGGUGGGGUAGUGGCUUACCAAGGCUUUGACGGGUAGCCGGCCUGAGAGGGUGACCGGCCACAUUGGGACUGAGAUCCGGCCCAGACUCCUACGGGAGGCAGCAGUGGGGAAUAUGGCACAAUGGGCGGAAGCCUGAUGCAGCAACGCCGCGUGCGGGAUGACGGCCUUCGGGUUGUAAACCGCUUUCGCCUGUGACGAAGCGUGAGUGACGGUAAUGGGUAAAGAAGCACCGGCUAACUACGUG